CCAUUUUAAAUAUCUAAUACUACUUUCAAGUACUCUUUAAUUUAAUUAUAAAUAUUGACUGGAGCUGUCUUCGAGUCAACCUGACUUGACUGGACAUUGAGCGGAGUUUUUGGUGCUAUUUAUUUAUUUAUUUAUGAUUAUUUUAAUUUUUUUUAGUAAUUAUGAUCAUAAUCCCUGCAGGAGGGGAUUAGGUACUAUCCAGGCCUCACCUGAGAUGUUGUGGUCCUUACAGUGAGGCCCACCUAUAUGUAUUUGUGUUGGUAGAGAGUCUAAUUGCUUCUUAUUGUUGUUUUCCAUUGCAUUUUGCAAACAAUUCUUAGAGCAACUGUAUACUAUGUCCAAAAUAUGUGAGAUCUGUUCUAGAUUCAAUGGGAUGUAUCAAGAGCCAAUAGGGCCCACCUAUGAUCAACAAUGACAAUUUGAUAGGAGGAAUGCUUGGUAGAUUUGGAACAUGUGCCAAAAGUAUCCAUGAAAGGGUAAUCACAACCAAACAAUUAAGGGCAAACAAGAUGGACGAUAAGAGUAAAAAUGGUUUUAUUUCCACAUGUGGCUUGGCUUUAUUUUCCAUUGUCCUUGGCAAUAUGCAAGUAACUAAAUCCUCAACCAUCUCAUGGCCAACAUUAAUUUGAGUUAGCAUAAACCUUUGGAUCCUCUUUUUGAAAGGGCUUAGAGUGGAAGGAGAAAGUAGAAGAAUCUUCAACUAGAACAAUGUCUCUAAGCUUAAAGACAUUGUUUGAGCAGCUUGCAGUGGAAGUUGAGCCUAGUACCUCAAAAGCAUUGGAUCAAGAGAGAGAAGUAUUCCCAGAUCUACCAAAUGAAGUUACGCAAGUAAGGUCAGCUUAAGCGACAUCUUCUUACAAUUGGAUGGAGUGUGUUUGUAAGUGCAAAGAGGCUUGUUGCAGGUGAUUCAGUCCUUUUCAUCUGGAAAGAAAAGAAUUAGUUACUCCUGGGAAUCCGGUGUGCUAAUCGGCCACAAACAGUCAUGUCAGUUUUAUCAAGUGAUAGCAUGCACAUAGGGCUCCUUGCUGCAGCAACUCAUGCAGCUGCCACAAGUAGUCGUUUCACUAUUUUUUAUUACCCAAGGGCAAGCCCAUCUGAAUUUGUCAUACCUCUAGCCAAAUAUGCUAAAGUAGUCUACCACACCCGUGUUUUAGUUGGCAUGCGCUUUCGGAUGCUAUUUGAGAUAGAAGAGUCAAGUGUGCGUCGGUAAGUUUCAUGCUCAAAAUGUCUCUCUUUCGUUAUUCCUCCCUUUUGAACUUUUUUAUGUUGUUGUUUGGAAUUUCACAUUUAUCUAUGGCAGAUAUGAUAUGCCUUUGAACUA